rnacentral:rRNA from 1 species
UACAGAGGGUGCGAGCGUUGUCCGGAAUUACUGGGCGUAAAGAGCUCGUAGGUGGUUUGUCGCGUUGUUCGUGAAAACUCACAGCUCAACUGUGGGCGUGCGGGCGAUACGGGCAGACUUGAGUACUGCAGGGGAGACUGGAAUUCCUGGUGUAGCGGUGGAAUGCGCAGAUAUCAGGAGGAACACCGGUGGCGAAGGCGGGUCUCUGGGCAGUAACUGACGCUGAGGAGCGAAAGCGUGGGGAGCGAACAGG